rnacentral:rRNA from 1 species
GAUGAACGCUGGCGGCGUGCCUAAUACAUGCAAGUCGAGCGAACAGACGAGGAGCUUGCUCCUCUGACGUUAGCGGCGGACGGGUGAGUAACACGUGGAUAACCUACCUAUAAGACUGGGAUAACUUCGGGAAACCGGAGCUAAUACCGGAUAAUAUAUUGAACCGCAUGGUUCAAUAGUGAAAGACGGUUUUGCUGUCACUUAUAGAUGGAUCCGCGCCGCAUUAGCUAGUUGGUAAGGUAACGGCUUACCAAGGCAACGAUGCGUAGCCGACCUGAGAGGGUGGGCGGCCACACUGAAACGGAGACAGGGCCCAGAGCCCUAGGGAAGGCGCCAGGAGGGAAACUUCCGCAAGGGGCGAAAGCCAGACGGAGCAACGCCGAGGGAGUAAUGAAGGUCUCCGGAUCGUAAAACUCUGUUAUUGGGGAAGAACAAAUGUUUAAGUAACAAUGAGCGUCUUGAAGGUACCUAAUCAAAGAACCACGGCUAACUACGUG